GCAUAUCAAUAAGCGGAAGGAAAAGAAACCAACAGGGAUUACCUCAGUAACGGCGAGUGAAGCGGUAACAGCUCAAAUUUGAAAGCUGGCUCUUUUAGGGUCCGCAUUGUAAUUUGUAGAAGAUGCUUCGGGUGUGGCCCCGGUCUAAGUUCCUUGGAACAGGACGUCAUAGAGGGUGAGAAUCCCGUAUGUGACUGGGUGCUUUCGCUCAUGUGAAGCUCUUUCGACGAGUCGAGUUGUUUGGGAAUGCAGCUCAAAAUGGGUGGUAAAUUUCAUCUAAAGCUAAAUAUUGGCCAGAGACCGAUAGCGCACAAGUAGAGUGAUCGAAAGAUGAAAAGCACUUUGGAAAGAGAGUUAAACAGUACGUGAAAUUGUUGAAAGGGAAGCGCUUGCAACCAGACUUGCGCGCUGAUGAUCAUCUGGGCUUCUGUCCAGUGCACUCGUCUGCGCUCAGGCCAGCAUCGGUUUCGGUGGUGGGAUAAAGGCCUUGGGAAUGUAGCUCCUCUCGGGGAGUGUUAUAGCCCUCGGUGCAAUGCCGCCUACUGGGACCGAGGACCGCGCUUCGGCUAGGAUGCUGGCGUAAUGGUUGUAAGCGACCCGUCUUGAAACACGGACCAAGGAGUCUAACAUCUAUGCGAGUGUUUGGGUGUCAAACCCAUACGCGUAAUGAAAGUGAACGGAGGUGAGAACCCUUAAGGGUGCAUCAUCGACCGAUCCUGAUGUCUUCGGAUGGAUUUGAGUAAGAGCAUAGCUGUUGGGACCCGAAAGAUGGUGAACUAUGCGUGAAUAGGGUGAAGCCAGAGGAAACUCUGGUGGAGGCUCGCAGCGGUUUCUGACGUGCAAAUCGAUCGUCAAAUUUGCGUAUAGGGGCGAAAGACUAAUCGA
rnacentral:rRNA from 1 species